AUUGAACGCUGGCGGCAGGCUUAACACAUGCACGUCGAGCGAGCGGCGGACGGGGGAGUAAUGUCUGGGGAACGGCCUGAUGGUGGGGGAUAACUACUGGAAACGGUAGCUAUUACCGCAUACCAUCAGAUGUGCCCAGAUGGGAUUAGCUAGUAGGUGGGGUAAUGGCUCACCUAGGCGACGAUCCCUAGCUGGUCUGAGCGGCUGACCAGCCACACUGGAACUGAGACACGGUCCAGACUCCUACGGGAGGCAGCCGUGGUGAAUAUUGCACAAUGGGCGCAAGCCUGAUGCCGCCAUGCCGCGUGUGUGAAGAAGGCCUUCGGGUUGUAAAGCACUUUCAGCGAGGAGGCGUUACUCGCAGAAGAAGCACCGGCUAACUCCGUGCCAGCAGCCGCGGUAAUUC
rnacentral:rRNA from 1 species